AGUGAACGCUGGCGGUAGGCCUAACACAUGCAAGUCGAACGGCAGCACAGUAAGAGCUUGCUCUUACGGGUGGCGAGUGGCGGACGGGUGAGGAAUACAUCGGAAUCUACUUUUUCGUGGGGGAUAACGUAGGGAAACUUACGCUAAUACCGCAUACGACCUACGGGUGAAAGCAGGGGAUCUUCGGACCUUGCGCGAUUGAAUGAGCCGAUGUCGGAUUAGCUAGUUGGCGGGGUAAAGGCCCACCAAGGCGACGAUCCGUAGCUGGUCUGAGAGGAUGAUCAGCAACAAUGGAACUGAGACACGGUCCAGACUCCUACGGGAGGAAGAAGUGGGGAAUAUUGGACAAUGGGCGCAAGCCUGAUCCAGCCAUACCGCGUGGGUGAAGAAGGCCUUCGGGUUGUAAAGCCCUUUUGUUGGGAAAGAAAAGCAGCAGGUUAAUACCCCGCUGUCCUGACGGUACCCAAAGAAUAAGCACCGGCUAACUUCGU
rnacentral:rRNA from 1 species